rnacentral:rRNA from 1 species
GACGAACGCUGGCGGCGUGCUUAACACAUGCAAGUCGAACGGAAAGGCCCUGCUUUUGUGGGGUGCUCGAGUGGCGAACGGGUGAGUAACACGUGAGUAACCUGCCCUUGACUUUGGGAUAACUUCAGGAAACUGGGGCUAAUACCGGAUAGGAGCUCCUGCUGCAUGGUGGGGGUUGGAAAGUUUCGGCGGUUGGGGAUGGACUCGCGGCUUAUCAGCUUGUUGGUGGGGUAGUGGCUUACCAAGGCUUUGACGGGUAGCCGGCCUGAGAGGGUGACCGGCCACAAUGGGACUGAGAGACGGCCCAGAAUCCUACGGGAGGCAGCAGGGGGGAAUAUUGCACAAUGGGCGGAAGCCUGAGGCAGAAACGCCGCGAGCGGGAUGACGGCCUUCGGGUUGUAAACAGCUGUCGCCUGUGACGAAGAGUGAGUGACGGUAAUGGGUAAAGAAGCACCGGCUAACUACGUG